rnacentral:rRNA from 1 species
UACGUAGGGGGCUAGCGUUGUCCGGAAUCAUUGGGCGUAAAGCGCGUGUAGGCGGUCCGGUAAGUCCGCUGUGAAAGUCGGGGGCUCAACCCUCGAAUGCCGGUGGAUACUGUCGGGCUAGAGUGCGGAAGGGGCGAGUGGAAUUCCUGGUGUAGCGGUGAAAUGCGCAGAUAUCAGGAGGAACACCAAUUGCGAAGGCAGCUCGCUGGGACGUAACUGACGCUGAGACGCGAAAGCGUGGGGAGCAAACAGG